GGUGAGAUAUCCAAGUGGCUAAAGGGCGUGGACUGUAAAUCCAUUCGGUUUUCCGUUCGGGGGUUCGAAUCCCUCUCUCACCACCA
rnacentral:tRNA from 2 species